UACAGGGGGUGCAAACGUUGCUCGGAAUUAUUGGGCGUAAAGCGCGCGUAGGCGGCCACUUAAGUCGGAUGUGAAAGCCCCUGGCUCAACUGGGGAAGUGCACCCGAAACUGAAUGGCUUGAAUGCAAAAGAGGGUCGCGGAAUUCCUGGUGUAGCGGUGAAAUGCGCAGAUAUCAGGAAGAACACCCGUGGCUAAGGCGGCUCUCUAGUACGGUACUGACGCUGAGACGCGAAAGCGUGGGGAGCGAACAGG
rnacentral:rRNA from 1 species